rnacentral:tRNA from 1 species
GCCCGGGUGGCGGAAUCGGUAGACGCAGGGGACUUAAACUCCCUGGGCCUUGCGGCCAUUGCGGGUUCGAGUCCCGCCCCGGGCACCA